GCCUAGAGAAGUUGGCUGCCCUUGGUGAUUUUUGUGCCAGAGAUACUCGAGAAAAGAUGAGAAUUAUGGUUGCAGGAGGUGAUGGUACAGUUGGUUGGAUACUGGGGAGUCUUGCAUCACUUAACAGACAGGGGAGGGAGCCAAUUCCUCCCGUAGGAAUCAUUCCUCUGGGUACAGGCAAUGAUCUGGCAAGGAGUUUUGGUUGGGGAGGCUCAUUUCCUUUUGCUUGGAAAUCGGCUGUCAAAAGAUCCCUUCACAGGGCUAUUACUGGUCCAGUUUGCCGUCUAGAUAGUUGGCAUCUUUUAGUGAUGAUGCCAAGUGGAGAAGUUGUGGAUCCACCCCAUUCUCUAAAACAUACGGAAGAAUAUUCUCUUGAUCAGAGUUUGGAAGUUGAGGGGAUGUUGCCUGAGAAUAUGAAUUGCUAUGAAGGAGUCUUUUAUAAUUA
rnacentral:misc_RNA from 1 species